UAAAUGUGCCUCACCCCCCAAAUUCUCGU
rnacentral:piRNA from 1 species